rnacentral:rRNA from 1 species
AGAGUUUGAUCAUGGCUCAGGAUGAACGCUAGCGGCAGGCUUAACACCUGCAAGUCGAGGGGCAGCGGGAUGUAGCAAUACAUUGCCGGCGACCGGCGCACGGGUGAGUAAUACAUAUGCAACUUACCUUUAACCGGGGGAUAGCUCCGAGAAAUCGGAAUUAAUACCCCAUGAUAUAAUGGUAUCGCAUGAUGCUAUUAUUAAAGCUCCGGCGGUUUUAGAUAGGCAUAUGUGCCAUUAGCUUGUUGGUAAGGUAACGGCUUACCAAGGCGACGAUGGCUAGGGGGUCUGAGAGGAUGAUCCCCCACACUGGUACUGAGACACGGACGACUCCUACGGGACGCAGCAG